rnacentral:rRNA from 1 species
UACGUAGGGCGCAAGCGUUGUCCGGAAUUAUUGGGCGUAAAGAGCUCGUAGGCGGCUUGUCGCGUCGGAUGUGAAAGCCCGGGGCUUAACCCCGGGUCUGCAUUCGAUACGGGCAGGCUAGAGUUCGGUAGGGGAGAUCGGAAUUCCUGGUGUAGCGGUGAAAUGCGCAGAUAUCAGGAGGAACACCGGUGGCGAAGGCGGAUCUCUGGGCCGAUACUGAUGCUGAGGAGCGAAAAGCGUGGGGGAGCGAAACAGGG